rnacentral:misc_RNA from 1 species
AUGGGGCUGAUGCUGGGCGCGGAAAUUGUCGAUGAGCGGGGCGCCCCCAACGGCGCCCGCGCCGAAGCACUGCUCAAGAGCAGCGAGCAGCACGGGCUGUUGCUGCUGCGUUGCGGCACCCACGGCCAAGUGGUGCGAUGGCUGCCGCCGCUGAUCGUCACCCGGGAACAGAUCGACGAAGCGUUGGAUAUUUUUGCGAAAGCGCUGGAGGAAACG